UGGGGAAUAUUGCGCAAUGGGGGCAACCCUGACGCAGCAACGCCGCGUGAUUGAUGAAGGUCUUCGGAUUGUAAAAAUCUUUAAUCAGGGACGAAGAAAAUGACGGUACCUGAAGAAUAAGCUCCGGCUAACUACGUGCCAGCAGCCGCGGUAAUACGUAGGGAGCAAGCGUUAUCCGGAUUUACUGGGUGUAAAGGGCGUGUAGGCGGGCCUGUAAGUUGGGAGUGAAAUCCGGGGGCUUAACCCCCGAACUGCUUUCAAAACUGCGGGUCUUGAGUGAUGGAGAGGCAGGCGGAAUUCCCAGUGUAGCGGUGAAAUGCGUAGAUAUUGGGAGGAACACCAGUGGCGAAGGCGGCCUGCUGGACAUUAACUGACGCUGAGGCGCGAAAGCGUGGGGAGCAAACA
rnacentral:rRNA from 1 species